CGCAUCUGUGCAUGCAGCAUAUCAAUAAGCGAGGAAAAGAGGGCUAUUACCUACGCUUAGGAUGUUGACACACGCGCGUGCUCGACUCUAUACAUGACUCUGUGCAUAUCAAUAAGCGGAGGAAAAGAAACUAACAAGGAUUCCCCUAGUAACGGCGAGUGAAGCGGGAAGAGCUCAAAUUUGAAAUCUUAAAGGGUUUCCCUUUACGAAUUGUAGUUUAAAGAAGUGUUUUCUGUUGAGGUUUUGGUAAAAGUUCUUUGGAAUAGGACAUCAUAGAGGGUGAGAAUCCCGUAUUUGACCUUUACUUUCAACCUUGUGAUACACUUUCAAAGAGUCGGAUUGUUUGGGAAUGCAGUCCAAAAUGGGUGGUAAAUUUCAUCUAAAGCUAGAUAUUGGCGAGAGACCGAUAGCGAACAAGUACCGUGAGGGAAAGAUGAAAAGAACUUUGAAAAGAGAGUUAAACAGUACGUGAAAUUGUCAAAAGGGAAGCGUUUGACACCAGUGUUGUUUUUCUGAAAAUCAAUUAAAGAACUGUUUAUGCUAAGUUGUUUAGACUUUAUCAGCUAACUGUUUAGUUUUGAGCUUUUCUUUAAUGCACUUUUCAGUUAACAAGUCAACAUCAAUUUCUUUUGCUGUAAAAAAGCUUGAGGAAGGUGGCUUGAGAUUCGUCUUAAGUGUUUAUAGCCUCUUGCCUAUGCAGUCGGAGAGAUUGAGGUCUGCAGCGUAGAUCCUUCGGGGCUAAAUGCAUUUGUGCUAAGUUAUAACAUUUUAUAGACAACUUGUUGACUAUGAUUUGUCUUGUAGCUUACUCGCUUAUGUUAUUUUACCUACGCUUAGGAUGUUGACAGCAGUAUAGACUGU
rnacentral:rRNA from 1 species